AUACCCCACUAUGCCUAGCUGUAAACCCAGACUCAUCAAUCCGCCAGAGCACUACGAGCAAUAGCUUAAAACUCAAAGGACUUGGCGGUGCCCCAAACCUACUUAGAGGAGCCUGUUCUAUAAUCGAUAACCCACGUUCAACCUCACCAUCUUUUGAUCAUCAGCCUAUAUACCACCGUCGCCAGCUAACCUUUAAAGAGAAAUAAAACCAGCCCAAUCGGACAGCCCAAAUACGUCAGGUCAAGGUGUAGCACAUAGGAUGGAAGAAACGGGCUACAUUUUCUUCUUAAGAAAUUACGGAAAGUCUCAUGAAAAAAAACUUCAAGUCGGAUUUAACAGUAAGACAGGCCAACCAUACCUCUCUUAAACUAGCCCUGGGACGCGCACACACC
rnacentral:rRNA from 1 species